rnacentral:rRNA from 1 species
GAGUUUGAUCGUGGCUCAGAUUGAACGCUGGCGGCAUGCCUUACACAUGCAAGUCGAACGGCAGCAUGAUCUAGCUUGCUAGAUUGAUGGCGAGUGGCGAACGGGUGAGUAAUACAUCGGAACGUGCCCUGUAGUGGGGGAUAACUAGUCGAAAGAUUAGCUAAGACCGCAUACGACCUGAGGGUGAAAGUGGGGGACCGCAAGGCCUCAUGCUAUAGGAGCGGCCGAUGUCUGAUUAGCUAGUUGGUGGGGUAAAGGCCCACCAAGGCGACGAUCAGUAGCUGGUCUGAGAGGACGAUCAGCCACACUGGGACUGAGACACGGCCCAGACUCCUACGGGAGGCAGCAGUGGGGAAUUUUGGACAAUGGGCGAAAGCCUGAUCCAGCAAUGCCGCGUGUGUGAAGAAGGCCUCGG